ACGAACGCUGGCGGCGUGCUUAACCCCUGCAAGUCGAACGAAGAGCGAUGGAAGCUUGCUUCUAUCAAUCUUAGUGGCGAACGGGUGAGUAACGCGUAAUCAACCUGCCCUUCAGAGGGGGACAACAGUUGGAAACGACUGCUAAUACCGCAUACGAUCUAACCUCGGCAUCGAGGAUAGAUGAAAGGUGGCCUCUACAUGUAAGCUAUCACUGAAGGAGGGGAUUGCGUCUGAUUAGCUAGUUGGAGGGGUAACGGCCCACCAAGGCGAUGAUCAGUAGCCGGUCUGAGAGGAUGAACGGCCACAUUGGGACUGAGACACGGCCCAGACUCCUACGGGAGGCAGCAGUGGGGAAUCUUCCGCAAUGGACGAAAGUCUGACGGAGCAACGCCGCGUGAGUGAUGACGGCCUUCGGGUUGUAAAGCUCUGUUAAUCGGGACGAAAGGCCUUCUUGCGAAUAGUUAGAAGGAUUGACGGUACCGGAAGAGAAAGCCACGGCUAACUACGUG
rnacentral:rRNA from 1 species